ensembl:snoRNA
GUGCAGGCUGUUCAGCAAGGUUGGGUCUACAGUGGCUCUGUCCUUUCCUGUAUGUCUGCUAGAGAGACAUUGAGGUGGUUUGAGGCCUGGCUGUUCUUUCUACAGCAAGGUUAUAGAAACCUCAUACAAAU